GACGAACGCUGGCGGCGUGCCUAAUACAUGCAAGUUGAGCGCUGAAGGUUGGUACUUGUCCCGACUGGAUGAGCAGCGAACGGGUGAGUAACGCGUGGGGAAUCUGCCUUUGAGCGGGGGACAACAUUUGGAAACGAAUGCUAAUACCGCAUAAAAACUUUAAACACAAGUUUUAAGUUUGAAAGAUGCAAUUGCAUCACUCAAAGAUGAUCCCGCGUUGUAUUAGCUAGUUGGUGAGGUAAAGGCUCACCAAGGCGAUGAUACAUAGCCGACCUGAGAGGGUGAUCGGCCACAUUGGGACUGAGACACGGCCCAAACUCCUACGGGAGGCAGCAGUAGGGAAUCUUCGGCAAUGGACGAAAGUCUGACCGAGCAACGCCGCGUGAGUGAAGAAGGGUUUCGGAUCGUAAAACUCUGUUGGUAGAGAAGAACGUUGGUGAGAGUGGAAAGCUCAUCAAGUGACGGUAACUACCCAGAAAGGGACGGCUAACUACGUG
rnacentral:rRNA from 1 species